GUGGGGUAACGGCCUACCAAGGCUUCGACGGGUAGCUGGCGUGAGAGCGCGACCAGCCACACCGGGACUGAGAUACGGCCCGGACUCCUACGGGAGGCAGCAGUAGGGAAUAUUGGACAAUGGGCGAAAGCCUGAUCCAGCGACGCCGCGUGAGGGAUGACGGCCUUCGGGUUGUAAACCUCUGUUGCGGGGAAAGAAGCCUGGUGCAUAACCAGGUGACGGUACCUUGCCAGAAAGCCCCGGCUAACUACGUGCCAGCAGCCGCGGUGAGACGUAGGGGGCGAGCGUUGUCCGGAUUCACUGGGCGUAAAGGGCGUGUAGGCGGUUACGUAAGUCCGACGUGAAAAUCCACGGCUCAACCGUGGACCUGCGUCGGAUACUGCGUUGACUCGAGGACGGUAGAGGCAGGUGGAACUAGCGGUGUAGCGGUGAAAUGCGCAGAUAUCGCUAGGAACGCCGGUGGCGAAGGCGAUCUGCUGGGCCGAUCCUGACGCUGAGGCGCGAAAGCUAGGGGAGCGAACCGGAUUAGAUACCCGGGUAGUCCUAGCCGUAAACGGUGGGUGCUAGGUGUGGGGGACGUAUGUUCCUCCGUGCCGCAGCUAACGCAUUAAGCA
rnacentral:rRNA from 1 species